rnacentral:rRNA from 1 species
GAUUAACGCUGGCGGCGUGCCUAACACAUGCAAGUCGAACGAAGUGGCGGACGGGUGAGUAACGCGUGAGUCACCUGCCUUAGAGAAGGGGAUAGCCUUUGGAAACGAAGAAUAAUACCCUAUGCUCAAAGAUGGACUUGCGUCUGAUUAGUUAGGUGGUGGGGUAACGGCCCACCAAGACAGCGAUCAGUAGCCGGCUUGAGUGAGUGUACGGCCACAUUGGGACUGAGACACGGCCCAGACUCUACGGGAGGCAGCAGUGGGGAAUUUUGCACAAUGGGGGAAACCCUGAUGCAGCGACGCCGCGUGAUUUAGAAGGCCGUCGGGUUGUAAAAAUCUUUUCUAUGGGAAGCAGUACCAUAGGAAUAAGGACCGGCUAAGUACGUGCCAGCAGCCGCGGUAAUAC